GGAGGUGUCUCUAUCAGCGGCUGCUCUUCACCUCUGCAGUCAACAUUACCCGGAAGCUAACCGCGCAGAGGAUCCAUCACCACACAAACAACCGGCGGCGGCGGAGGGGAUGCGGUCGAAGCCGGACGCCAUCCUCCAGCAGACGGACGGACACCGGAAACCGCCACGCAGCGACCCGCUGCCACUGUGCUGCAGCAGCUACAGCCCAUUCAUGACGGAGGAGAAUCUGGAAGUGGCUAAAAAGAAGCUCCGGCGGCAAUAAUCGCCUUUCAGCUUCCGUAAAAUUGCUUUCGAACUAACACAAAGGCUAUCUGGAGCUGGUUAAAAUAUUACGAAGGGUAGUUCCAGCUUUUGAACACCAGGCGUCGCUGUAUCACCCGAUGUAACCGCAACCUAGUUAAAAACUACUGAGUUGUUCUAAAGUCCUGCUACUAUUUCCCUAUUUGUAAACUAAUAACAUUGUAUGACUUCUCAAGAUGAUUAAAAUGACUCAUUUUAAGUUUUGAGUUAUUUUUCGUGGAGAAGUUCUCAUUAAGUUAAUACUUAAUUUUCCUGUAUCACUACAACUUUAUUCUGGUAAUGUUACGAAAUUAUUUUGGUAUUAUAAAGAUUUUAUCAUGUUA